rnacentral:lncRNA from 1 species
CUCAUGAUAUCGUGUGAUGUUGUUUGAUUUUUUUUUUAAAAAAAAGAAAAAAAAAGACUAUUUAUUUCCCGUUAGAAGUAAGAAAUGUUUAAAAAGAUAAAGAACUCUUGAUGUUGGACAAAGUCCAAUCCAAAGUUUAUAAAAAGUAGAGAAGACGACAGUUAUCUAAAGAUAUCCAAACAAACGGCAACAAGGCAUCAAGGGAGUCAAAAGCAGGCUUCAACAUUCUUCUCAGAACAUGUAGAAAUCCAAUCUUUGAACAGAAACAAAAUACUAUCAAUAAGAUACGAGAAUGUUUAAGCCUUGUUAGAUCUACCAUACCUUAUCCUACUUUUGAUAUUGAAUAUAACAUAUUAGCAAAAUGUGUUAAAUCUACCAUAUCAAUUAGAUAAGAACUUGCUACAUAGCUCUGCGAUUGAGGAUGCUCUUCAGUUCUGGCCUGAACUACAGAAGUCUUGUCCC